AAAAAAACAACCCUGCCCAACACAACUAACCCAGGUGGUGUUUAUGUCUUUUGCAACAGUGCCCUGCACUGACCACUGCAGGGCAAUGUGCAGACCCAGGCUGGAAACCCAGAGCAUGUGUUCAUGCCCACCCAGGUCCUGUGGCUGGUCAUGCUCCACCUCCAAAACCAACUGAGGGGCAAUUGUGCCCUCGUCCAGGGGCCAAAUCCAACCUGUGGGGCUAAGGCAUGUGGGAAUUUAUAAUGGAGCACCUGGGUUGCUGGUUAUGGGGUUGCCUGAGGCAUGGGGAAGACCACCUCAUUCUUCUGGCCAAGAAAUGACCAGAAGAAGGUGCUUGUUUUAAUUUUAUAACCCCAGGGCCCUCUAGGGUUUGCUUACGUCAAAUAGCCUCUGAAGCACAGCUUGGCUGCUUUGCACAUCUCCUGGGCCUGCCUUGAGGCUGGAUGUGGUGACAUUUCUGUGUUAUCUAAAUUAGACCCAACCUUAUCAGUACCCAAUGGCUUCCAGGAAGUUGUGGAGUCCCCUCUGCUCCCCUGGACUUCCCAUGUACACAAUGCCAGAGGGGUUUCUUUUCACCACAGCUUAUACCUCUGCUCUCACUGCACAUUAUCCUAGAAUGUUGACUGAACAGAACAGAAGACACUAGAGUCCAACAGACUUCGUGGAAAUAGGUAGCUGGUAGAGGGAAGGGACCCAAGCUACCGCCCAGAUUACACAGAGAGCAGCUAGGGGGCAUGCUAAGGUUACAAAGAGCCCUGGCUCCCCCAGCAUCCCCCUGCAGUGGAGACUGGACACUCAUGAGGAAACCUGAGGGUUUGUUAAAGACUUGAAGCUCCCACUGCUUUACGAAGGUAGGAAAGACAUGAAAAAUUGUCUCUGCAUCACCUCUCAAGCCCUCCAGCAGGGAAAGCCAAAUAUAACAAUUCUGAUAUAUAUUUACCAUAUGAACAACAACCAGGGGAAAAAACCUGUGCAUUUUUGUCUUAUAUUGAAAGAAAGGACAUAAAUCCAAGCAAACCAAAAAUCCCUGUAGUCAUCUAGUUCAUCUUCCCACAGUACAUAUAAGUCCAAUUGAAAGCAGGAAGUAUUUAUUCUGUCUCCCUGAGAAAAACUCAGGCCCUUAAUACACUGCUAGUUACAGUUAGCUUUUUGUAUGGAUUAUUUUAAAGGUUUAUUGACAUGCCAGAGAACUAAGCACCUUGUUUACUAGCAUCGUUUAAGUCUGUAUUAACAAAACCAUUGUAGAAUCUCACUCCUAUUAACAAUAAUAAUCUAGAUUUUUGAAGGGAAGGUGAAACUCCACAUCAUUUCCAUGAUACGGCCAUGUAACAAGACGUGAUCCUGAAUGCAUAUGAAAUUCUGAGUUGAUCGUAGAACUGAGAGCAGAAUAAUUCAAGAGUUUUUAAAUGCCACUUUGUUCACCUUGGUAAUUUACCCUUCAUGGGAUAUCCUUGUAAUAAUUAAUCAUAUCUGCAAUGCACAGACCAUUU
rnacentral:lncRNA from 1 species